AAGCAGAGGCGAGAAUACCAUGUGCUCUCCUGCACGCUCCAGAUGUGGGCUCCCACCUCUCCCCCAGGGCUGUGCUCUCCCGUGCUUCUGUCUCCCCCCGCCCCAUUAUCCAUUCUCAAGUGACCAACAGCAUGCUGACCUGGCCCUCUGAUGCAGUAGAAUCUCCGAGGUUCUGUGGGCUGUUCCCUCAGCCUUAACAUGGAACAGCAGCAAGGAGAAAAUGGUCCUGAAUACAUCUAGCAAAUUUAACCGCAAACUGAAGAGGGAACGUGAUACUUCGAGAACCUUCCAAGCUGCAAAUUCUAGGACCAAUGGCUAUCACAAAUAGACCCACAACCCCCAACUGCCUAGUGAGAGAGGAAACCCAACAGAAAACCAGAAUGUCCGUUGCUGGACGUGUUUCUCCAGAAAAACAAUGUCAUGGCCCCCAGCCAGCUCCAGAGUCUAACUUCAUCCAUUAAGGGGGCUGAAACUCUAUUUGCAGGGGAAAAAAAAAAUAACUGCAGGCAAUUCCUGGCAGGCACACAAACUCUGAAGGCUGAUACAGCCCUACUUCUUAAGUAACUAAUUUUCUUUUUUUAUUAUUAUUAUUAAAUGGCUGCACCUGUGGCAUACAGCAGUUCCCAGGCCAGGGACUGAAUCUGAGCCCCAGCUGUGACCCACACUACAGCUGCAGCAAUGCCAGAUCCUUUAACCCACUGCACUGAGCUGGGGAUCGAACCUGCACCUCUGCAGAAACCCGAGCCAUUGCAGUCAGAUUGUUAGCCCACUGCACCGCAGCGGGGAACGCCUAGUAACUGAUUUGCAUUAAAACAGGAAUGGCUUUCCUUCUCCUUGACAAAACUGUCGCCUCUUUUCAUACCUUCCAGGUUAAGACUGGGACCAUUUCUGGGUCACGAGUUUCUGAAGGGCAAGAGUAUCAGGAGUUAAGAGAGCACAAAAGGGGAUGAGAAGAGGCCAGCUGUCCCCCAUACCAGGCCCUGGGUGACGCCGCGUGACCAGCGCAGCUGUGUCACCUGGUACCUGGCUGGGCUGAACAACGGCCUGGCGAGCGGCAGUGGGGGCGAAAGGUUAAUGUGUAACCGCUUCCUGUCCCUUUUUCUCAGAUACUUACGGAAGCUUCCAGUCAGGAACACGAGGAUCUGAUUCAAAUAUCGCCAGCUUUCCUUCCCACUGCUGGAGGCACCAAAGGUGGUGACGUCACAGAGUCAGACAAGAGGAGAGGAUGAGAAGCCAGAACGAAGCUCCAAGACGGCAAAAUGCAGAGACAACUGCAGUGGGUUUCUAUCAAGGGAACGGAGCUCGCCCCCGAACAAUCCGCUUGCACAAACAGGAUGGGAGGCAGGAGAGGACUGACUUGGGAGAACAUUACCAGAGGCUGCUUAGUUACCCAGGAAGGGGUACUCAAGUCACUUUGCUAACUUCAGCUUCAUCAACAGAUGAGAUGCAAAGACGGGGCUGGUCACCUCUGCAAUUCCGUAUUCACUCUCCUACCCACUCCCCCAUCCAAGGAAAAUAGUGAUCUGAAACCCCACAUUCCAAGUCCUAAACUCGGGGAGUUCCACCGCGGCUUUAACGAACCCAACUAGAAUCCAUGAGGAUGCGGGUUCAAUCCCUGGCCCUGCUCAGUGGGUUAAGGAUCCAGCGUUGCCAUGAGCUGUGCUAUAGGUCGCAGAUGCAGCUCGGAUCUGAUGCGGCUGUGGCAUACACCAGCAGCUGUCGCCCUGAUUCAACCCCGAGCCUGGGAACGUCCAUGUGCCACAGGUGCGGCCCUAAAAAGCAAAAAAAAUAAAUUAAUUAAAAUAAAAAUUUUAAAAUAAUAAAGUACUAAACUCAUUAUUCACCGUCACAAAACAAUCCUUACAAGCUGAAGGAAGUGCUGAAUACAGGGUUUUUUUCCCUUACACCGAUGAUUCUAUCACUAGGAUCCCUUCCUCCACGCUAAUCAGAGGUAAGCAGCCAAGCAGAGGAACUAAGAAUGAGUCAGCACAUUUAGAAAGGAUUUAUACCCAUUCUUAGAAGGACAGCCAGAGGAAACACCAUCCGGAGGUCUAAACAAUAGUAUCUGCUUGCCCUUUGAUCCGAGUUUAAGAACACGCUGUACAAGGUUUUUGUUGUAACACCACGGAAAUCUCCCAUGUACCACUUAAAAUCUCCUUAGGAGACCACACACUUGCAGUCAGAUUCUCCAAACGCUUUUUGCUCUGAAUAGCUUGCCGGCCUGGAUUAAUCUUCUGCUAACAAAAAUCUCCAUUAAGUACAGGCAGCUUCCAUGAAAAAUAGGACGCCUAAGACAGUACAGUGGAUCUGGUUACACAUCCAAGUAGGGAGUAUUCUGUUUUUCCUCUAAUUUAUGAUUCCCAAGAGUAAUUCAAAAGAUGGCCCGUAUUUUUAGCACAGUACGUUUCUUGUUACUCGUACUAAUAUAUGCUGAUUCCCCUUUCUGACCGUAAUUUGAGGUUUUUUAUUUCGUUUUCUCCUAGCAUCUGUAGAUCAGCAGCUCAUUAAUUUAGAAUAAGUAAAUAAAGUCUGAAAUGCAACGUUAAUGAAACCUGGGAGCUACUCUGAGAUGUAAAGCACAUUACACAUUAAUAUACACGUGAGUAAUUAACAAGGAGGUAUAUAAACAAAGCACCAUGAUAGGAGUUCCCGCCGUGGCGCAGUCGUUAACAAAUCGGACUAGGAACCAUGAGGUUGUACGUUCGAUCCCUGGCCUUGCUCAGUGGCUUGAGGAUCUGGCGUUGCCGUGAGCUGUGGUGUGGGUCGCAGACGCGGCUCGGAUCCACGUGGCUACCUACACCUGUGGCGUAGGCCAGCGGCUACCACUCCGAUUGGACCCCUAGCCUGGGAACCUCUAUAUGCCCCGGGAGUGGCUCAAGAAAAGGCAAAAAGACAAUAAAAUAAAAUAAAAUAAAGCACUAUAACAGACAUUAGAUGUCAUGAGUUUCAACCCAGCUUCCCUUCCCUCGCAUGUUUUACUUAGGAAAAAUCAGGUGUGCCAUUUGCAAACGAUCUCAAUAAAAUCAGGUGUACCCUUCCAGAUUCGCAAAACAAGGAUUUUAAAUGAAUGUGUCUACUCUCACUCAUUCAGUCUUAAGCUCCUUCAAGAUGCUCAGCUCUAUGCCGGGAACUUAGGUUAUGAUGAUGGAUAAGCCCGGGGGCUUUUAGAGGCUGACAUCCUACAGGGGCGACAAACAAAGGAGUAAGCACAUUUUCAAAGGAAUAAAAAAAAAAAUACUCCUCGUGAGAAGCGCAACCAAGGAAAUAAACAGGGCGCUGUGAUGGUAAAUAAGUGGGGGGCGGGGCGGCCCGGAUCUCCACGGAGUGGUUAGAGACGGCUUCCUCUGCGAGGUGACUUUUAAGCUGAGACCCGAGAUAUUUCAGCAGACCUCGCCAAGGUCACCAGAUUGGCAGGCUUGCCUCCGAGGCCCUGAUGGAAUGCAGGUUCACGCGUGCACCCAGCUUGCCCGGGCACUCUGCACACAGCCAGUAAGGACUAAGGUCCCCAGACUACGCACCCAGAGAGUGUGCGAAACCAUCACUACAAACAAGUGAGCAGCCUCUGGGAUGUGCAAGAGAAAUUCAUCCUGUUGAUUCAGACUUCCUGCCAGCCAGCCACUCUGACCUACACGCCUCCAAGUGUUUUAAAUGUAUUUUAUGAGUAAGCAACUCCCCUGCCCCUGGGGAAAAAAAGGAUGUUUACAACUAUAUAACACAUUCCUUUGUACUUUCAGUUCCUCACUUAUCUAACUCUGUAGGUAUCAGAGGAUGGAAAGCCCAUAUGCUGUAACGUUAUCUUUCUGUAGAUUCUAUAGUCACACAGUGCAGUAGCCAAUAUGCCAUUGACACAGAGUAAUAGAUCUGGGGAUGCCUCCAAACAUCUUUUUUUUGGAGAAUCCAGGCUGCUAAGCACUUGCUUUCUUCAAAUCAACUGUCCUUAUGCUCGGAGUUAUGAUAAUCAGAUUUCAUCACAGUUCAGCUUCUCAUUGUGAAAGGCUCCUGU
rnacentral:lncRNA from 1 species